rnacentral:rRNA from 1 species
AGUGAACGCUGGCGGUAGGCCUAACACAUGCAAGUCGAACGGCAGCACAGUAAGAGCUUGCUCUUACGGGUGGCGAGUGGCGGACGGGUGAGGAAUACAUCGGAAUCUACUUUUUCGUGGGGGAUAACGCAGGGAAACUUACGCUAAUACCGCAUACGACCUACGGGUGAAAGCAGGGGAUCUUCGGACCUUGCGCGAUUGAAUGAGCCGAUGUCGGAUUAGCUAGUUGGCGGGGUAAAGGCCCACCAAGGCGACGAUCCGUAGCUGGUCUGAGAGGAUGAUCAGCCACACUGGAACUGAGACACGGUCCAGACUCCUACGGGAGGCAGCAGUGGGGAAUAUUGGACAAUGGGCGCAAGCCUGAUCCAGCCAUACCGCGUGGGUGAAGAAGGCCUUCGGGUUGUAAAGCCCUUUUGUUGGGAAAGAAAAGCAGCAGGUUAAUACCCCGCUGUUCUGACGUUACCCAAAGAAUAAGCACCGGCUAACUUCGUG